rnacentral:rRNA from 1 species
CCUACGGGAGGCAGCAGUGAGGAAUAUUGGUCAAUGGGCGCGAGCCUGAACCAGCCAAGCAGCGUGAAGGAUGACUGCCCUACGGGUUGUAAACUUCUUUUAUAAAGGAACAAAGUGAGGCACGUGUGCCUGUUUGAAUGUACUUUAUGAAUAAGCAUCGGCUAACUCCGUGCCAGCAGCCGCGGUAAUACGGAGGAUCCGAGCGUUAUCCGGAUUUAUUGGGUUUAAAGGGAGCGUAGGUGGGUUGUUAAGUCAGUUGUGAAAGUUUGCGGCUCAACCGUAAGAUUGCAAUUGAUACUGGCAGCCUUGAGUUGAGUUGAGGUAGGCGGAAUGCGUGGUGUAGCGGUGAAAUGCUUAGAUAUCGCGAAGAACUCCGAUUGCGAAGGCAGCUUACU